CCCUGGGUGGCUCAGUCGGUUAAGCGUCUGACUUUGGCUCAGGUCAUGAUCUCGCCCGUGUGUGGGUUCAAGCCCCGCAUCGGGCU
rnacentral:tRNA from 1 species